rnacentral:rRNA from 1 species
UUGGUGUGAAUUGCAGAAUUCAGUGAAUCAUCGAAUCUUUGAACGCACCUUGCGCCCUUUGGUAUUCCGAGGGGCAUGCCUGUUUGAGUGUCAUUAAAUACCAUCAACCCUCUUUUGACUUCGGUCUCGAGAGUGGCUUGGAAGUGGAGGUCUGCUGGAGCCUAACGGAGCCAGCUCCUCUUAAAUGUAUUAGCGGAUUUCCCUUGCGGGAUCGCGUCUCCGAUGUGAUAAUUUCUACGUCGUUGACCAUCUCGGGGCUGACCUAGUCAGUUUCAAUAGGAGUCUGCUUCUAACCGUCUCUUGACUGAGACUAGCGACUUGUGCGCUAACUUUUGACUUGACCUCAAAUCAGGUAGGACUACCCGCUGAACUUAAGCAUAUC